rnacentral:rRNA from 1 species
AUGAACGCUGGCGGCGUGCCUCAUACGUGCAAGUCGAGCGAACAGACGAGGAGCUUGCUCCUCUGACGUUAGCGGCGGACGGGUGAGUAACACGUGGAUAACCUACCUAUAAGACUGGGAUAACUUCGGGAAACCGGAGCUAAUACCGGAUAAUAUAUUGAACCGCAUGGUUCAAUAGUGAAAGACGGUUUUGCUGUCACUUAUAGAUGGAUCCGCGCCGCAUUAGCUAGUUGGUAAGGUAACGGCUUACCAAGGCAACGAUGCGUAGCCGACCUGAGAGGGUGAUCGGCCACACUGGAACUGAGACACGGUCCAGACUCCUACGGGAGGCAGCAGUAGGGAAUCUUCCGCAAUGGGCGAAAGCCUGACGGAGCAACGCCGCGUGAGUGAUGAAGGUCUUCGGAUCGUAAAACUCUGUCAUUAGGGAAGAACAAAUGUGUAAGUAACUAUGCACGUCUUGACGGUACCUAAUCAGAAAGCCACGGCUAACUACGUG